AGCAGCCGCGGUAAUUCCAGCUCCAAUAGCGUAUAUUAAAGUUGUUGCAGUUAAAAAGCUCGUAGUUGAGUUUCGGGAUCAAGGGAUCGGUCAUGCCUUGGUAUGUACUGGUCUUAUUGGUUCUCACCUUCUAAAGAACCAUAAUGUCAUUUAUUUGAUGUUAUGGGGAAUUAGGACUGUUACCUUGAAAAAUUAGAGUGUUUAAAGCAAGCUUACGCUUGAAUACAUUAGCAUGGAAUAAUGAAAUAGGACAUCAGAUUCUAUUUUGUUGGUUUCUAGGAUCGAUGUAAUGAUUAAUAGGGAUAGUUGGGGGCAUUAGUAUUCAAUUGUCAGAGGUGAAAUUCUUGGAUUUAUUGAAGACUAACUACUGCGAAAGCAUUUGCCAAGGAUGUUUUCAUUAAUCAAGAACGAAAGUUAGGGGAUCGAAGACGAUCAGAUACCGUCGCAGUC
rnacentral:rRNA from 1 species